rnacentral:rRNA from 1 species
GAUCCUGGCUCAGGAUGAACGCUAGCUACAGGCUUAACACAUGCAAGUCGAGGGGCAGCAUGGUCUUAGCUUGCUAAGGCCGAUGGCGACCGGCGCACGGGUGAGUAACGCGUAUCCAACCUGCCAAUCACUUGGGAAUAACCUUGCGAAAGUAAGACUAAUGCCCAAUGAUAUCCCACGAAGGCAUCCGAAUGGGAUUAAAGAUUUAUCGGUGAUGGAUGGGGAUGCGU